GCGGGGACCAAGCCACCCGAAAGCCUUGUGUUGUGCCAUGGGCACCAUCGAGCAGAGCAGAGCCGUGCGCAUACACCAACAACGGGGUCUCCAAGGCAAGCUCGGUAGCUUCACCUAGACUCCAGGAGGGCGUCCGAGCACUCGCUGGGCGCGUGUGGUGCACGGUGCAACUGGCGAUUUCUCGCCGGAGUUGAGAAACUGCGCCACAUCGUGGCCAGGGUCUACGACUACAUGAGAGCUGGUAAGAACGCCACUGUUCACCUCGCUACCUUCGGUGCAUCGUGUAGGACCAUCUGGUCGGUAGGUUGGAGCCUUUUCGCUUGGACAACCAUCUCCGGCGUGCUCAUCGACGGAUUAGUGGGCGGCGCCACCGUGCUCUGGAUCCUGGGAGGGAGAAGAACCGAUGGUCGCUGAUCAGUAUUCAACGGUCGUGAUCAUGACGCACGCAACCCUUCCGGUGGGGAAAUCUGAACCGUGGAUCUGGCAAGUAGCGGCUCAGAUUAAAACCCGGUGUACCAGUUCGGGGGUCACGUUGUGGCCAUUGGAUCUCGUUUGGGCGAUCGAGAUUACAACGUAUAGUACCCCCCUUCGUCCGUCGAUCUGAGCCAUUGAUCGUGUGGGUACCGAUUCGUAAAGCACUCAAUCUAAUCCACGUCACAGACUGGUAAUCUAACGACUCAUAUCCAUCAAUACCCCUUCACCUCAGAACAAUUGUAAAAGAGCCCCUACACUUAUUUAUAAAUAACCCGUCGUCCAUCGAAAGCAUAAGAUUAUCACGGUUAGGUCUAGAUUUUUACAGAAUAAGCCCUGAAGACUUAAGAAAUAGCAUCCGCAGUUCAUACGGUUCAGAAAUAAUAAAAGAAAUAUGGAAAUUAAUUUUCGAGUAUAAAAGUAAUUCCCAAAUCUUAGAAAAUUCAUAACUUUCACAUUUUAACUCCGAUUUGGCCCGUUCAAAUUGUGUUAGAUUCGUAAUAAAAUAUUCUACAUAGCGAAAAACAUUAUUUUGUCAAAUCAAAUACUUUUAUAAUUAGAUAUUUAUUUAACUUAUGUUAGUUGAUUAAUCAUUCUAAUCAAAGUUAGUCUGUCUAUGACUAUAAUUUAACUAAAAUAUGAUUUCUACUAUGGUAUAAUGUAGAUUAAAGUUAUUUCUUUAAUAUCGUUAUCACAUGAUUUAUAAACUCAAUAUAAAGACCUAGAUCUAAUUGGUUAAUCACAUAGAUCUUCCAGAAAACCAUCUCUCUUCAUCCAUAACUCCGAUUUUAGUCGUUGUCGAACCCACGACCUCGUAGGAUCACGUAGAAUAUUCUUAUGCUAUUUGUUUUCAUAUUUAGUGUACUGAUAUUUUUUGUGAUCCUUGUAUAUUUGUAUGUAUUGCUACGAAUAGGGGUGAGGUCACAAGAAUCUGAAUACCAUCUUGGUACAUGGGAUCUCGAGUCUAAGUCAAGUUGUGCCCUUGAUCACUUUUCUCUACCUAAUAAUGUUCCUGUUAAUCAUUAUGACAUGUUUAGGUUAAUUUGAUGGGACCUAAUAGGUUUCCUUUGUAUUGUUUAUCCCACACCUUUCAAACAAAAGAACUAUUUGGUAGAUUUGCUAUUGCUCUACCUCGUUUCAAGAAAUUAAUGUUAUAUUAUGAUCAUGUUCUAAUUUUGCUGUUGUUUUAAUUAUUGUUCAUGAUAAGAUCAUUAUGUUAAUUUGAACAUGGAGUGACCACCUGGGAAAAUAGUGCUACAACAAGGGUGGUAUGGGACGCCCUUGGCUAAUUAAAUAGAAAAGCUAGUGGAGGACUACCUUACCCGAAAGGGGCAAGGGCAGUAGAGGAGUUGUGGUAUAGGGAGGUUCUUGGGUCGAUCAUGCUGCGAUGGCUUUUCGGACGAGGGAUUCCUAUAUCGCCCUUCUCAGAAACCAUAGUGGGUUUUCUGUAGCUAGUGGAACUUUAUAAAGGCCUCGUAGUGCUACCCUGCCUCGCCUCCUCGGUAGAGGUGUAUGCGAUUCAUGACCUUGUGGCAGAUGGGUAACACGACUUGUGGGUAAAGAUGCACAAUCUCUGCAGAGUGUAAAAUUGGUAUAUCAGCCAUGCUCACAGUCAUGAGUGGCUCGGACCCUCACAUGAGUAAUUUAUGGAACUAAAUUUAAAUUGUCAUAUGCAUUGCAUUGUGGGUGUUAUUAUUGAUUGUGACCUCUUAUUUAUUUAUUUGGGUUGGUAUCUACAUAUACUUAGUAACUGCUAAUAAAAUUUUGACCAACUUUAAAAGCAAUGCUCAGCUUUAACUACCUCCCUUGGUAAGGCUUACACUUCACAUGAGCCCCCACCGUAAGUGAGCUCAUGCACAUUAUUCCUCACAACUUGUUGAGCAAUGAUUGCAUGUGAGUCACCCUUGUCGUACUUACAUUCCCCUAG
rnacentral:lncRNA from 1 species